GGGCAUCGCGGGGUGCUUUAUAGGGCCUCGGUUUGCGCAAAACGGCAAGGAAAUCGCGAAUCCCAGGAAUUGGAUUCGGCAGCGCUGUGCCCGGCCUGAGUCCCGUUCGUUCACAGCUGGGGGAGGGAGACAGGCGCUGACGCGUGGGUCCCGCGUCGCAGUGAGAGAAGGGGCGGGUCCAGCGGGUCAGAGAGAGAAGAGGAGAAGGGAGGCGUGCGCUGCUGGGCCGAGAAGAAAGAAGUGGGCCGGAGCGCGGUGGAGAAAAAAGAAAGGGGGAGAGGGGAGCUGGGCCGGGAAGGCCAGGGGGACAACUGGGCUGGCUGGGGUUUUUCUCUUUUUGUUUUUAUUUUCUUUUCUGUUCUUUUCCUAAAACCUUUUUUAAAUAAAAUUUUGAAUGCAAAUAAAUUCAAGCCAGAGGCAAACAAUACAAAAUAAAAUAUUCUUCAGCAUGAAUGCAUAAACAAGUUUCUCAUCUUAUGAUAAAUUUUAAUUUUGACCAAAAAUUAUUUAAGUGCUGAAUUUAAAUGCGCACAAAAAUGCUUAAUUAAAUCAAAUUAAUCCCUAUUAAUUUAAAACAUAUUUUUUUGGUGUUACACAUGCCAAACACACUUCGACUACACCACUCCACGAUUCAGGUACAUACUCUGCACACUUUACACAUACAUAUAUAUCUUGGAUUAUACAGAAUAUUGUCUCCGACCUGAUAAAUUAAAAAAAUUAAAAUGUUUCUAAUCAUGAUUAAUCUCACUCUAUGAUAUUUCUUGAAACUUGCAAUCAUUGAAAAUCAUUUUAAAACCCUGUGUUACUUAAGUCAUUGUGGAAUGUGAGAUGGUAGAGUAUGAGUACCUUAUUCUUGAUAUCAUUGUUACUUGGAGAAUUAAUUUCAAAAUCUUCAAAAUUCUAGCUACCAUCAUCUGUGUUUUAUAUGCCUGAUAAACCUGAAAACAUGACAAUUACAAAAGCUAUCUACUCUGUAUUGAGUUUGUUCAAAAUGAGUUAGACCCUUGUUGAGAGAUUUAUCAUACUCCUAAGAUCAAGACAUUUAUUCAGAAAGAUUCACUCUUCCGAAGUAUUAUUGCAUUAGAGGCAUGGGCUAUGUAAAAAUAAGGAUAUUUCGAGGAAAUAAAAAGGAGCAAGUGCUCAACAACCUCGCAGAAAAAAAAUGGACAAGUGUCCAGUAGUAGAAUUAGGGGUACCUCGGUAUCCACUUAAAAAAAGAAGAAAAAGAAAGAAAUAAUAGCCCAUGGUCCCUCUAAUAAGCAAUAUGCCAGUAAGAGUUGACAAGUUUUAAAUUUCCAAAGUCUUUGAUCUAAGAGUAUGGCAUUCCCCUCCUCCGAUCCUGUUUUGAUCAGGCAAUAAAUGCAAGGUAAUUAUGCUUGAGAAUUUUUGCAAAUUAAAACAGCCUCAGUGAGAUAAUGAGUUACCUGAGAGAACCUAUGAGGAUAAAAGUAUGCUAAAUUUCUUUUCAAAAAUAUACAAAAAGUCCAAGUGACAGGAUUGACAAGAAAGGACCUCUAGUCUUGACCAUAUAUUUCCCUGACUACGGUACAUAGUGAAUUUUUUACAACACCCUGCAGGUAUGAAGAAAAUGCUUUACAAUGUUUUAACCCC
rnacentral:lncRNA from 1 species